rnacentral:lncRNA from 1 species
UCAUCUUCACACUACUUUCCAGCUAGAGUUGGAGAGAAAACGUAGGCUGCACAUGCUUCAGAAGACAUAAGGAAGAGAUAUAGCCAAGGUUCCAAGUCAAAAGCCAUUAUUUUUGACUCCCUUAACAAAUUCAGAUUUGGAGAAUCAUAGCAGAAAUUUUUGACUGGUAAGGGAAGGACUUUUCAUCAGCUUAUAUGCAGGACAUUCAGAAUCAUACGGGAGAAGCUUGGAGUCUGCAAAAAUGUAGCUUUUCCAUUCUCUUAUUGUUAGAUUAGUUUAGUAUAGAGUAGUAGUUCAUCCUUCUUGUUUAUUAGCUAGACAAAGAUGAAGAAGGAGAUGAAGAAGGCAAGGAAAGAGCUCAUGUGACAAGGGUUAUUUUUCCUUUCCAACUCUUUAUCUUUUGUAUUUGAUUCCAAGUUUAGCUAAUAUACAAGUUCUGGAUUUUAU